rnacentral:rRNA from 1 species
GACAGAGGGUGCAAACGUUGUUCGGAAUUACUGGGCGUAAAGCGCGUGUAGGCGGCCCGGAAAGUCGGAUGUGAAAGCCCUGGGCUUAACCUAGGAAGUGCAUUCGAAACUGCUGGGCUUGAGUUCUGGAGAGGAAGGCGGAAUUCUCGGUGUAGAGGUGAAAUUCGUAGAUAUCGGAAGGAACACCAGUGGCGAAAGCGGCUUCCUGGUCCAGCAUCGACGUUCAGGCACGAAAGCGUGGGGAGCAAACAGG